GUUGUUUCGUUUUGACUCUGUAUAAUGUCGAUCCAAUUAUUUUGGAUUUGAUGACUUCUACAGCCAAAACCUCGAAUGUAAGGUUAACCAACUUCAAAGCUCUUACGAAUCUCUGAAGGUGUAUCCUUUGCCCGUUAAACCCCGGGAUGGCAUUUGAUAUUUCUUUAAUGUAUGACCUUUGGGCAAUUAUCUCCUCAGUCAUUGUGGUUGGUUUUAUUUCUACAGUGCUGUUGUUAGAAUCCGCGUCAGUCAAGUCCUGGUCUGAUAAAUCAGAUUGAAUGAGGACUGCCGGAAUAGUGAGGUAGUUUAUAUCUUUUUCCUAUAUAUAGGGAUCUGUA